UACGAAAGGGGCUAGCGUUGUUCGGAGUUACUGGGCGUAAAGCGCGCGCAGGCGGCCAAUCAAGUGAGGCGUGAAAGGCCUGGGCUCAACCUGGGAAUGGCGCAUCAGACUGGUUGGCUGGAGUCCGGGAGAGGGUGGUGGAAUUCCCAGUGUAGAGGUGAAAUUCGUAGAUAUUGGGAGGAACACCGGUGGCGAAGGCGGCCACCUGGCCCGGAACUGACGCUAUAGCGCGAAAGCGUGGGGAGCAAACAGGA
rnacentral:rRNA from 1 species